rnacentral:tRNA from 2 species
GCGGGUAUGGCGAAAUUGGUAGACGUGUCAGAUUUAGGAUCUGAUGCCGCAAGGCGUGGGGGUUCGAGUCCCUCUACCCGUA